rnacentral:rRNA from 1 species
GGGUAGGGGAGCGUUCUGUAAGCCGUUGAAGGUGGUCUGUAAGGGCUGCUGGAGGUAUCAGAAGUGCGAAUGCUGACAUGAGUAACGAUAAAGGGAGUGAAAAACUCCCUCGCCGGAAGACCAAGGGUUCCUGUCCAACGUUAAUCGGGGCAGGGUAAGUCGACCCCUAAGGCGAGGCUGAAAAGCGUAGUCGAUGGGAAACGGGUUAAUAUUCCCGUACUUCUUAUAAUUGCGAUGGGGGGACGGAGAAGGCUAGGUGGGCUUGGCGACGGUCGUCCAAGUUCAAGUGCGUAGGCUAAGAGUUUAGGUAAAUCCGGACUCUUGUUAGGCUGAGACACGAUGUCGAGCUACUACGGUAGUGAAGCCAUUGAUGCCAUGCUUCCAGGAAAAGCCUCUAAGCUUCAGAUUAUAAGAAAUCGUACCCCAAACCGACACAGGUGGUCGAGUAGAGAAUACUAAGGCGCUUGAGAGAACUCGGGUGAAGGAACUAGGCAAAAUGGUACCGUAACUUCGGGAGAAGGUACGCUCCUAGCGGUGAUGAGACUUGCUCUCUAAGCUGCCGGGAGUCGCAGAUACCAGGUGGCUGCAACUGUUUAUUAAAAACAUAGCACUGUGCUAAAUCGUAAGAUGACGUAUACGGUGUGACGCCUGCCCGGUGCUUGAAGGUUAAUUGAUGGGGUUAGACUUCGGUCGAAGCUCUUGAUCGAAGCCCAAGUAAACGGCGGCCGUAACGAUAACGGUCCUAAGGUAGCGAAAUUCCUUGUCGGGUAAGUUCCGACCUGCACGAAUGGCGUAACGAUGGCGGCGCUGUCUCCACCCGAGACUCAGUGAAAUUGAAAUCGCUGUGAAGAUGCAGUGUAUCCGCGGCUAGACGGAAAGACCCCGUGAACCUUUACUAUAGCUUUGCACUGGACUUUGAGUUUGCUUGUGUAGGAUAGGUGGGAGGCUUUGAAGCGUGGACGCCAGUUCGCGUGGAGCCAACCUUGAAAUACCACCCUGGCAACCUUGAGGUUCUAACUCUGGUCCGUUAUCCGGAUCGAGGACAGUGUAUGGUGGGUAGUUUGACUGGGGCGGUCUCCUCCUAAAGAGUAACGGAGGAGUACGAAGGUGCGCUCAGACCGGUCGGAAAUCGGUCGUAGAGUAUAAAGGCAAAAGCGCGCUUGACUGCGAGACAGACACGUCGAGCAGGUACGAAAGUAGGUCUUAGUGAUCCGGUGGUUCUGCAUGGAAGGGCCAUCGCUCAACGGAUAAAAGGUACUCCGGGGAUAACAGGCUGAUACCGCCCAAGAGUUCAUAUCGACGGCGGUGUUUGGCACCUCGAUGUCGGCUCAUCACAUCCUGGGGCUGAAGCCGGUCCCAAGGGUAUGGCUGUUCGCCAUUUAAAGUGGUACGCGAGCUGGGUUUAGAACGUCGUGAGACAGUUCGGUCCCUAUCUGCCGUGGGCGUUGGAUGAUUGAAAGGGGCUGCUCCUAGUACGAGAGGACCGGAGUGGACGAACCUCUGGUGUUCCGGUUGUCACGCCA